rnacentral:rRNA from 1 species
AGUGAACGCUGGCGGUAGGCCUAACACAUGCAAGUCGAACGGCAGCACAGUAAGAGCUUGCUCUUACGGGUGGCGAGUGGCGGACGGGUGAGGAAUACAUCGGAAUCUACUUUUUCGUGGGGGAUAACGUAGGGAAACUUACGCUAAUACCGCAUACGACCUACGGGUGAAAGCAGGGGAUCUUCGGACCUUGCGCGAUUGAAUGAGCCGAUGUCGGAUUAGCUAGUUGGCGGGGUAAAGGCCCACCAAGGCGACGAUCCGUAGCUGGUCUGAGAGGAUGAUCGGCCACCAGGGAACGGAGACGCGGUCCAGGCUCCCAGGGGGGGGAGCGGGGGGGAAUUUUGGACAAGGGGCGAAAGCCUGACCCAGCCAUGCGGCGGGGGGGAAGAAGGCCUUCGGGUGGUAAAGCCCUUUUGUUGGGAAAGAAAAGCCGCAGGUUAAUACCCCGCUGUUCUGGCGGUACCCAAAAAAUAAGCACCGGCAAACUUCGU